GACGAACGCUGGCGGCGUGCUUAACACAUGCAAGUCGAACGGAAAGGCCCUGCUUUUGUGGGGUGCUCGAGUGGCGAACGGGUGAGUAACACGUGAGUAACCUGCCCUUGACUUUGGGAUAACUUCAGGAAACUGGGGCUAAUACCGGAUAGGAGCUCCUGCUGCAUGGUGGGGGUUGGAAAGUUUCGGCGGUUGGGGAUGGACUCGCGGCUUAUCAGCUUGUUGGUGGGGUAGUGGCUUACCAAGGCUUUGACGGGUAGCCGGCCUGAGAGGGUGACCGGCCACAUUGGGACGGAGAUACGGCCCAGACUCCUACGGGAGGCAGCAGGGGGGAAUAUUGCACAAUGGGCGGAAGCCUGAUGCAGCAACGCCGCGUGCGGGAUGACGGCCUUCGGGUUGUAAACCGCUUUCGCCUGUGACGAAGCGUGAGUGACGGUAAUGGGUAAAGAAGCACCGGCGAACUACGU
rnacentral:rRNA from 1 species